AAGAAAAUUGUCACUUUGCGACACUUCUCUUGCAACCACUUGGGCAAAACCGUCGCAAAGUGUAAUUUUUGAAAUAUUUGUGACAUUGCUUACGACGGUUUUGACAACCGUUGCAGAAUUAUUCCUAAAAAAUACCCCUUCAUGACUAAGCACUCAAAACGCAAUCCAAUUCCUUCAAAACGCAAAAACGCAGAAACCCUACCCUACCCUCAUCUCUUCCAGUUCCAGGUCUAACCACAAACGCAGAAACGCACGCAGGACCAAAGAUUCAGAAUCAGCGAAGCUAUGGAGUUCCAAGUCCUUCAACCACAAACGCCUCCAAAUUCCUAGCUCGUUCCAAAUCUUCAUCCUUUUAGUCGCUUCAAAUCCCUAACAUGUUCUAAAUCCCUUAUAGUCACUCAAAAUCCAAAUCCCUAACUCUUUCAUCGUUCCAAAUCCAAUCCCAAAUCUCUCUCCAAAUCGACGAAGCUUAUCUUGUUUUGUCUUCGUACCAUCCUAGUGUGAACAAGGAACUUAGGACAUCUGAAAAGAUUAAAGCGAUUACUAUUCCUAUGAGGUUGGAAAAGACCCAAGGCCAGUCAUGAGAGGGGAGUAUACAUGUUUGAAGACGGUGGAGAUCCUGAAAAGGUAAAUUGCAUUUUUUGGCAAGACUAGUACUCUCACUGUUGGGAAGUGCCUAAAUACAAAAUUAUUGAUCAACUUGCAAGUCUUCUUAUGGGCAAAAUGUGUGUAAGACGUGUUGCUUUUAUUUCUCUUACAAUA